GCUGGGAUAGCUCAGUUGGUAGAGCAUGAGACUCUUAAUCUCAGGGUUGUGGGUUGGAGCCCCACAUUCGGCA